rnacentral:lncRNA from 1 species
UAGAAGCGGUGAACCAAGUAUCGCUUUUAGGUGAAGGCGGUAAAUGAUUCACUGCUUUCAUAAAAUUUUAUAAAACCUAUAAAGACGGUGAAUGGCUCACCGCCUUCGUGCUUUUUCCUCCCCUGUGUAAUACUCACCGUGUAUAAAUACGGUGAAUGAUUCACCGCAUAUAAAUACAGUGAAUGGUUUACCGUUUUUAACAUAACCCACCACCCAGCUGUAAGUAUUUUGCAAAUUCCCACAUCAUACAAAAUAGUAAUAUUUUCAAGAUUUCAAUUACAAGAAUAAAUAUAUAAAAUCAUCUAUACUAACUUCAACCAUACUUUACCAUACUUUAAGCAUAUAAAAUGAGUUAUACUAAUAUCAACACACUUCAAUAUGAAUAAAUUUAGAUAAUACUAUUAAAAAC